rnacentral:rRNA from 1 species
UACGUAGGGUGCAAGCGUUUGUCCGGAAUUAUUGGGCGUAAAGAGCUCGUAGGCGGUUUGUUGCGUCGGCUGUGAAAUCCCGAGGCUCAACCUCGGGUCUGCAGUCGAUACGAGCAAACUAGAGUGUUGCAGGGGAGACUGGAAUUCCUGGUGUAGCGGUGGAAUGCGCAGAUAUCAGGAGGAACACCGAUGGCGAAGGCAGCUCGCUGGGACGGUACUGACGCUGAGACACGAAAGCGUGGGGAGCAAACAGG